rnacentral:rRNA from 1 species
GACGUAGGGCGCGAGCGUUGUCCGGAUUUAUUGGGCGUAAAGGGCGCGUAGGCGGCCCGGUAAGUCAAAGGUGAAAUCCCUCGGCUCAACUGAGGAACUGCCUUUGAAACUGCUGGGCUUGAGUCCGGGAGGGGGUAGCGGAAUUCCCAGUGUAGCGGUGAAAUGCGUAGAUAUUGGGAGGAACACCGGUGGCGAAGGCGGCUACCUGGACCGGCACUGACGCUGAGGCGCGAAAGCGUGGGGAGCAAACAGG